UAAGGGUUCCUGUAGUUGAGUUA
rnacentral:tRNA from 1 species